rnacentral:ncRNA from 2 species
UAUUUUGUAUUUCUCCGAGGCUAUAUUUCCUAAGGUUAAGUUCUAUGGUAUAUAGUCCUGAGUAAAACUACUCACGGGGUAUGUCUGGAAACGGUUAUACCUCCCCAUUGGAAAGGAGAAAAGAGAUAGGUCUA